rnacentral:ncRNA from 1 species
AGUUGAACGUGCCAUUAGCAAAUCUGCUGAUGAUACUGUCAUGGCUUGAGCCUGGUCAAACCCUCGGAGUCGGGUUGCUUGGGAAUGCAGCCCAAAGCGGGUGGUAAACUCCAUCUAAGGCUAAAUACUGGCACGAGACCGAUAGCCAACAAGUACCGUAAGG